rfam:Phytophthora infestans T30-4 supercont1.25 genomic scaffold, whole genome shotgun sequence.
GGGCGCAUAGCGCAGUGGUAGCGCGUCCGCUUUGGCCCCGGAAGGCGAACGGUUCAAUCCCCGGUGUGUCCA